rnacentral:rRNA from 1 species
UACGGGGGGGGGCAAGCGUUGUCCGGAUUUAUUGGGCGUAAAGAGCUCGUAGGCGGCUUGUUACGUCGACUGUGAAAACCCGCGGCUCAACCGCGGGCCUGCAGUCGAUACGGGCAGGCUAGAGUUCGGUAGGGGAGACUGGAAUUCCUGGUGUAGCGGUGAAAUGCGCAGAUAUCAGGAGGAACACCGGUGGCGAAGGCGGGUCUCUGGGCCGAUAUCGACGCUGAGGAGCGAAAGCGUGGGGAGCGAACAGG